rnacentral:rRNA from 1 species
UGGAUUGGUGCCUUCGGGAACUCUGACACAGGUGCUGCAUGGCUGUCGUCAGCUCGUGUCGUGAGAUGUUCGGGUUAAGUCCCGUAACGAGUCGCAACCCUUGUCCUUAGUUACCAGCACGUUAUGGUGGGCACUCUAAGGAGACUGCCGGUGACAAACCGGAGGAAGUGGGGACGACGUCAAGUCAUCAUGGCCCUUACGGCCUGGGCUACACACGUGCUACAAUAGGUCGGUACAAAGGGUUGCCAAGCCGCGAGGUGGAGCUAAUCCCAUAAAACCGAUCGUAGUCCGGAUCGCAGUCUGCAACUCGACUGCGUGAAGUCGGAAUCGCUAGUAAUCGUGAAUCAGAAUGUCACGGUGAAUACGUUCCCGGGCCUU